rnacentral:rRNA from 1 species
UUCCGGUUGAUCCCGCCGGAGGCCACUGCUAUUGGGAUCCGACUAAGCCAUGCGAGUCGAGAGGGUUCGGCCCUCGGCAGACUGCUCAGUAACACGUGGAUAAUCUACCCUUAGGUGGAGGAUACUCUCGGGAAACUGAGAAUAAUACUCCAUAGAUCCAGGAUGCUGGAAUGCACCUAGAUUGAAAGUUCCGGCGCCUAAGGAUGAGUCUGCGGACUAUCAGGUAGUAGUCAGGGUAAAGACCUGACUAGCCUACGACGGAUACGGGUUGUGAGAGCAAUAGCCCGGAGACGAUAUCUGAGACACGACAUCGGGCCCUACGGGGCGCAGCAGGCGCGAAAUCUUCACAAUGUGCGAAAGCACGAUGAGGGGAUCCCAAGUGUUGGUUCGUAAGAAUCAUCUGUUUCUUUGUCUAAAAAACAGAGAGAGUAAGAGCUGGGUAAGACGGGUGCCAGCCGCCGCGGUAAUACCUGCAGCUCAAGUGGUGGCCGCUAUUAUUGGGCCUAAAACGUCCGUAGCCGGUUUAGUAAAUGCUUGGGUAAAUUGUGUAGCUCAACUAUACGAAUACCGAGUAGACUGCUGAACUUGGGACCGGGAGAGGCUAGAGGUACUCCUAGGGUAGAGGUGAAAUUCUGUAAUCCUAGGGGGACCACCAGUGGCGAAGGCGUCUAGCUAGAACGGGUCUGACGGUGAGGGACGAAGCCCUGGGGCGCAAACCGGAUUAGAUACCCGGGUAGUCCAGGGUGUAAACGCUGCUCGCUUGAUGUUAGUUGGGCUCCGAGCCCAACUAGUGUCGGAGAGAAGUUGUUAAGCGAGCUGCCUGGGAAGUACGGUCGCACGGCUGAAACUUAAAGGAAUUGGCGGGGGAGCACAGCAGCGGGGUGCAGCGUGCGGAUUCAUUUGACUGCACGCCGGGA